CGGCGGACGGGUGAGUAAUGCCUGGGAAAUUGCCCUGAUGUGGGGGAUAACUAUUGGAAACGAUAGCUAAUACCGCAUAAUGUCUACGGACCAAAGAGGGGGACCUUCGGGCCUCUCGCUUCAGGAUAUGCCCAGGUGGGAUUAGCUAGUUGGUGAGGUAAUGGCUCACCAAGGCGACGAUCCCUAGCUGGUCUGAGAGGAUGAUCAGCCACACUGGAACUGAGACACGGUCCAGACUCCUACGGGAGGCAGCAGUGGGGAAUAUUGCACAAUGGGCGCAAGCCUGAUGCAGCCAUGCCGCGUGUAUGAAGAAGGCCUUCGGGUUGUAAAGUACUUUCAGUCGUGAGGAAGGCAAUAUAGUUAAUAGCUGUAUUGUUUGACGUUAGCGACAGAAGAAGCACCGGCUAACUCCGUGCCAGCAGCCGCGGUAAUACGGAGGGUGCGAGCGUUAAUCGGAAUUACUGGGCGUAAAGCGCAUGCAGGUGGUUUGUUAAGUCAGAUGUGAAAAGCCCGGGGCUCAACCUCGGAACCGCAUUU
rnacentral:rRNA from 1 species